AGAGUUUGAUCAUGGCUCAGAUUGAACGCUGGCGGAAUGCUUUACACAUGCAAGUCGAACGGCAGCACGGACUUCGGUCUGGUGGCGAGUGGCGAACGGGUGAGUAAUAUAUCGGAACGUAUCCAAUAAUGGGGGAUAACUAAGCGAAAGCUUGGCUAAUACCGCAUACGCCCUGAGGGGGAAAGCUGGGGAUCUUCGGACCUAGCGUUGAUGGAGCGGCCGAUAUCUGAUUAGCUAGUUGGUGGGGUAAAGGCCCACCAAGGCGACGAUCAGUAGCUGGUCUGAGAGGACGACCAGCCACACUGGAACUGAGACACGGUCCAGACUCCUACGGGAGGCAGCAGUGGGGAAUUUUGGACAAUGGGCGCAAGCCUGAUCCAGCCAUUCCGCGCGAGUGAAGAAGGCCUUCGGGUUGUAAAGCUCUUUCGCAAGGGAAGAAACGUUACGGGCGAAUAACCCGUGAUAAUGACGGUACCUGAUAAGAGACCGAUCGCUC
rnacentral:rRNA from 1 species